rnacentral:rRNA from 1 species
GACGAACGCUGGCGGCGCGCCUAACACAUGCAAGUCGAACGGAGUCAAGAGGAGCUUGCUUUUCUUGACUUAGUGGCGAACGGGUGAGUAACGCGUGAGUAACCUGCCCUGGAGUGGGGGACAACAGUUGGAAACGACUGCUAAUACCGCAUAAGCCCACGGCCUGGCAUCGGGCCGAGGGAAAAGGAUUUAUUCGCUUCAGGAUGGACUCGCGUCCAAUUAGCUAGUUGGUGAGGUAACGGCCCACCAAGGCGACGAUUGGUAGCCGGACUGAGAGGUUGAACGGCCACAUUGGGACUGAGACACGGCCCAGACUCCUACGGGAGGCAGCAGUGGGGGAUAUUGCACAAUGGGGGAAACCCUGAUGCAGCGACGCCGCGUGGAGGAAGAAGGUUUUCGGAUUGUAAACUCCUGUCGUUAGGGACGAUAAUGACGGUACCUAACAAGAAAGCACCGGCUAACUACGUGCCAGCCGCCGCAGUAA